rnacentral:tRNA from 1 species
UUUUUAUAUUUGAAAUCUUUGAAAUUUCUUUUUUAUUUCAAAAAAGCAAAA